rnacentral:rRNA from 1 species
CAAUCGGGGUAUAUGCCUUAGUUACGGCGAGUGAAGCGGCAAAAGCUCAAAUUUGAAAUCUGGCACCUUCGGUGUCCGAGUUGUAAUUUGAAGAAGGUAACUUUGGAGUUGGCUCUUGUCUAUGUUCCUUGGAACAGGACGUCACAGAGGGUGAGAAUCCCGUGCGAUGAGAUGCCCAAUUCUAUGUAAAGUGCUUUCGAAGAGUCGAGUUGUUUGGGAAUGCAGCUCUAAGUGGGUGGUAAAUUCCAUCUAAAGCUAAAUAUUGGCGAGAGACCGAUAGCGAACAAGUACAGUGAUGGAAAGAUGAAAAGAACUUUGAAAAGAGAGUGAAAAAGUACGUGAAAUUGUUGAAAGGGAAGGGCUUGAGAUCAGACUUGGUAUUUUGCGAUCCUUUCCUUCUUGGUUGGGUUCCUCGCAGCUUACUGGGCCAGCAUCGGUUUGGAUGGUAGGAUAAUGACUAAGGAAUGUGGCUCUACUUCGGUGGAGUGUUAUAGCCUUGGUUGAUACUGCCUGUCUAGACCUAGGACUGCCUCUUUUGACUACGAUGGUGGUCUCCUGAUCUUUCUCCUCCCCCCCUAAGGGGAUUCAAAAAAAAAUAUAGAUAAAAAAUUUAUUAGAAAGGGGAGAGGUAGAGGGCGGUUGGGAGUGGGUGAGGGGGGAAGGGGGGGGCGCGCG